UUGCGAGGCAGUCCACAAAAUAAUUUGCGCAUGCUCUUAUUGGCCAAGCGUAAUUCAUAAACAGCGGCGUUGGCGGGCGGAGAACAGAAAUACGGAGUAGCACUUCCAUUUUUCAGCCACCGAGUCUCAGCCAGCUAGGGUUUUUUUUGCUGCGAUUCCAGAGAGGGAGGGAUGAGCGAGACUUCUGUAGGCUUUAGCCAUGGCGAGCACCAAAGUUCAGAGGAUUAUGACUCAACCAUUGUACUUCUACUAAACCUUAUUUUUGAGCUGCUUUAUGUUCUCAUACAGUUUCAUUUUCAUGUUCGUUUAACUUAAUCGCUUGUAAGCAGAAAUUUCGCAUUCAGAUAUGGCUUUUUGAACAGAAGGAUCUGAGAAUCGAAGGCGGCAUUAUUUGCUAUGUUGGGUUGAGUUUGCAGCUGGAUGUCGUGACUCGUGAGUUUGGUCUCACUGGCAAAUGAAUUUGGUUCUUGAUGAUGCUGAGGAAGUAAAUAUAAAGAAGAAGAGCAGAAAGAAACUAGGAUGCAUACUUUUGAAAGGCGACAAUAUCACCCUUAUGAUGAAUACGUAUAUGGGGAAGUAACAUCUUGGAAGUUGUGUGCCGAGCUCACCUGCACAUGUUGUAUUAUUAUGGCCAUGUGAUUGAAAAUCUUGUGAACUAAUAUCGUCACCAUAAUGUAUCCUAGGGACUAGAGCAUCAUCACCAGGCAUGUACUUAUCUUUGAUGCACUAUUGCAUUGUCUUUGAGUGGGGAAAGUGAUGCUUGCGCUGCAACUUCUUUGGUGUAUAUUGUAUGACAAAGUUACCCUUAUUGCAGCUUUCUUUCCUUUGCAUGGAGGUGUUUAAAUGCCUUGCACAGUUGUAUGUGAAGUUCAACUGAUACUGGAAUAGUAAUCCCAUUAAAGAGCAUCUUCAAGUGAACUACAGAAGUACAUGAAGGCACCUCCCCUAUCUUCUUAAGGGAAUCCUUGUCAGGCUCUUCAUCAACUCCAAUAGCCAUGAUGGCCUUUGUCCUCUUAACGGUCCUUCCCACGCUCAUAAAGCUC